UGAAAGUCAGGUCGGAUUAAGCCAUAGUACGGGAAAAACUAUGCUACCUGUGAGCCCCGUCCAAGGACGUAAAAAGAAGUCAGGCCAUCACAAAAUGCCACAGCUUGAGCAAACUGUGCAGCCUGUAGCUCCACCUGAGGAGGUGUAAAAAACCCGGGAGGCCACAAACCAUGGAAGCUGUACGCAUGGCGUAGUGGACUAGCGGUUAGAGGAGACCCCUCCCUUACAAAUCGCAGCAACAACGGGGGCCCAAGGUGAGAUGAAGCUGUAGUCUCACUGGAAGGACUAGAGGYURGRGGAGG
rnacentral:lncRNA from 1 species